rnacentral:tRNA from 1 species
GCCCUCAUAGACUAGUGGUUAGGUCACCAGCCUCUCACGCUGGCAGCAGGGGUUCGAAUCCCCUUGGGGGUA